rnacentral:rRNA from 1 species
UAGAGUUUGAUCAUGGCUCAGGACGAACGCUGGCGGCGUGCCUAAUACAUGCAAGUCGAGCGGACUUUAAAAGCUUGCUUUUAAAGUUAGCGGCGGACGGGUGAGUAACACGUGGGCAACCUGCCUGUAAGACUGGGAUAACUUCGGGAAACCGGAGCUAAUACCGGAUAAUUCUUUCCACCACAUGGUGGAAAGCUGAAAGACGGUUUCGGCUGUCACUUACAGAUGGGCCCGCGGCGCAUUAGCUAGUUGGUGAGGUAACGGCUCACCAAGGCAACGAUGCGUAGCCGACCUGAGAGGGUGAUCGGCCACACUGGGACUGAGACACGGCCCAGACUCCUACGGGAGGCAGCAGUAGGGAAUCUUCCGCAAUGGACGAAAGUCUGACGGAGCAACGCCGCGUGAGUGAUGAAGGUUUUCGGAUCGUAAAGCUCUGUUGUUA